AGUGAACGCUGGCGGUAGGCCUAACACAUGCAAGUCGAACGGCAGCACAGUAAGAGCUUGCUCUUACGGGUGGCGAGUGGCGGACGGGUGAGGAAUACCUCGGAAUCUACUUUUUCGUGGGGGAUAACGUAGGGAAACUUACGCUAAUACCCCAUACGACCUACGGGUGAAAGCAUGGGAUCUUCCGACCUUGCACGAUUGAAUGAGCCGAUGUCGGAUUAGCUAGUUGGCGGGGUAAAGGCCCACCAAGGCGACGAUCCGUAGCUGGUCUGAGAGGAUGAUCAGCCACACUGGAACUGAGACACGGUCCAGACUCCUACGGGAGGCAGCAGUGGGGAAUAUUGGACAAUGGGCGCAAGCCUGAUCCAGCCAUACCGCGUGGGUGAAGAAGGCCUUCGGGUUGUAAAGCCCUUUUGUUGGGAAAGAAAAGCAGCAGGUUAAUACCUCGCUGUUCUGACGGUACCCAAAGAAUAAGCACCGGCUAACUUCGUG
rnacentral:rRNA from 1 species